rnacentral:lncRNA from 9 species
ACUUUGUGAACAAAGCACAUCACAUCUGUAGAAAGGAGCAUUCACGAUCAUCAGCCUUAGAAGGAAAAGCGAUUUUGAAAGUAGUGUUCACCCACACUCCCAAGAAAAAAAAACAUCUACAGGAAAGCAGAAGUUGGAAUUAAGGUAUAGCUAAAUAUUUAGGCUCUUCUGGCAGAAUUAUGCAAUAAAAGUGCCAAGAUGGACAAUCCAUGGAGCCUGUUUAGAAGAGAGACACAGGGGUUAAGGAGCCUGAGUGGCAGUGAUGACGGUGAUGAGAAUUGUCACAAAUCAAUGUGUGGGGCCCUUCAUCUGGGCCAAGGAGGGGGCUGAGGACUCUGCAGUCAUUGUCUUAAUUUAUUGUUGGCACUAUUAUAAUUCCUAUUUUCCGGAAGAGAAAGCUGAGGCUCAGAGAAGUGGAGCUCCUUGCCCCCCUUGCUCCAGCAUGUAGAUUGCAUGAAAGGAUCUUGUCUGGAACCCUCUCUGAGCCCAGAGCCCCUGUCCCUUACAUCUCUGCCACCGUGGGGCUCUGAGAUGUGACAUAAAUUGCCCUAGGUGGAGCAGGGCUUCAAACUCAACUCUGUCUCCAGAGCCUGUGCAGUUUCCAUGGAGAGCAAGUGGGGUUGUCAGUCUGGUCCCGUUCAGAAGAGGACAGAGCCCUUUCUGUGAGGCAGGCUUUGGUGUGCCCUCCCCACAGGGGAGCUGCCCAGAAAGAGCAGCUGAUCCGGGACAGACGGUGGCGAAAGGGGAAGCUGGUUGCGUCGGCCAGCAGCCUCUCUGCUUCCCCAGUCCUCGGUAAUUGCCCAACACUCAGGAGUUUCACAUCUCCUGUCUCCGGCUAGAGCCUCCAGAAGUCCUAGGGGCAGGGCAAGCUGGUCCCCAAAAGAGGAUCAGAACACCAGAGAGACCAAGAAGGCCCUGGACAGGCCAGCUCACUUGGUCCAGCCCCAGGCCCCACACCUGUAACAAGGGCCGUGAUGACAGAGGUCUCAGCAAACAGCCCUCGGCCAAGGAGCUGGUGCAGCGAGGAGGGCAGGGGCCCACGCGCAGCCAUCCUCCAGAGAGCAUCAGUCUAGGCUGCAAGCUUGAAGCAGAGCAGAGAGUGGGGAGCAGGAUGGACGUGCCUGCCUCACCUGCGGUCUUGGUGCUUGCAGCCUCCACACUGUUCCUAGAGCCUCCUGAUGUUGGCUGCAUUAUCUGCCUUGACAGUAUCAGUGCCCUGACCACCAGUUUAUAUCCGACCUUCCACAUUUUGACCCAGAUGGAGUGCAUCUGCCAGUUCACUGUCCUGGGAGAAGUGCCUGCCUUUUCAUUCUUUAUACUUUGCUGUGCUUGAGUGUCGGAACUUCCCUGUGGACAUGCUCUGGGAAUAGACAGUGCGUCCCUUAGGAGGAGUGGGUUAGGGGGUUGGGGAAAAGACAGUGCCUAUAGAAAAUGUAUAAUUUGUUUAUCCGACCUGCCAUGAGACCUCAAGGCCUUGGAGGAAAGAAAAGCUAGACGCUCGUAUGUAAUAAUAUCAAGUGAUCCUUAUUACUGCUCUUUGUGAAAGGGCGAUCGAGGAAAAUAUACCCAUUUUACAGAUUGCAGAGAAAGAACAAAUGCUUGUCCAAGCCCUCACAGAUCAUCAGACAUAGAAUAUGGGAUUUGAAACCAAACCUGUUUGAUGCGAAGACUCUUUCCACUGAGUAUCAUUUCCAAAGACAGAAAUUUCACAAGGUGAAUAACCAGUAUCUACCUAGAACAGGUUGUGCCAACCGUAUUUAUUACACUGUGAAGGAAAGGAUAUUUUGUCCUUGAAUUCUUCUAAAAUGAUGAUCCUUGGUUUGUCUACAUUUUUCUCCAUUAAAAAAAAAGAAAAAAGAAAUAGGGAGUUCCUAUCAUGGCUCAGCAGUAAGGAACCCAACUAGUAUCCACAAGGACUUAGGUUCGAUCCCUGGCCUCGCUCAGUGGGUAAGGAUCCAGUGCUGCCUUGAGCAGUGGUGUAGAUCA